AGCGAACGCUGGCGGCAUGCCUAACACAUGCAAGUCGAACGAGACCUUCGGGUCUAGUGGCGCACGGGUGCGUAACGCGUGGGAACCUGCCCUUAGGUUCGGAAUAACUCCCCGAAAGGGGUGCUAAUACCGGAUAAUGUCUUCGGACCAAAGAUUUAUCGCCUUUGGAUGGGCCCGCGUUGGAUUAGCUAGUUGGUAGGGUAAAAGCCUACCAAGGCGACGAUCCAUAGCUGGUCUGAGAGGAUGAUCAGCCACACUGGGACUGAGACACGGCCCAGACUCCUACGGAAGGCAGCAGUGGGGAAUAUUGGACAGUGGGCGAAAGCCUGAUCCAGCAAUGCCGCGUGAGUGAUGAAGGCCUUAGGGUUGUAAAGCUCUUUUACCCGGGAUGAUAAUGACAGUACCGGGAGAAUAAGCUCCGGCUAACUCCGG
rnacentral:rRNA from 1 species